rnacentral:lncRNA from 10 species
CCAGCCCUACCUUGGUUGAUCCUUGCCCCUAGACCCAGCAGAGGACGGUGCGCGUCCAUCCUAUGGGACACGGCCGUAACCCCUUCCCCAGCCCCCACUUUAGCACACCCUGCAGAGCAGAGGCCUGACCUGAGCUGGCUCUAAACAGCUCCCUGAGGCUGGAGGCCAGACAGCCACAAGCCAGGAGCAAGAUUCUAGAAUACAAAGCUAUUAUAAUAAGGAGUUUCUCUGCAAGGCCAAAAGCCUCAGACAUUAAUAGAGGCAGAAGAUGAGUUGCAGACCCUGAAGCCCCAGUCAUGGACCUCGCCUCCUCCACCGGGCUGGUAUGACCUCUGCCUGUAAUCUUUCAGUCCUCCUGCCCAGCCAAGCUACCAAGGUGGGGUGUCCGCCAGAACCACUGGGGCCAGGCAAUAUGAUGACAGCAACAGUCCAGGCUGCAGUAAUGUCUUUUGGAAAGGUCAGCCUGUGGCAGCUAUGCUCAUGGAAACUCAAGGAAGGUGUUUGCAUCCAUGCUUCUACCAGAAGACUAAAAGGAAGCCAUGUCCUCCCACCCAGCCCUCCAGAGUGAAGAUAUGAAUCCCAAGCAGUGAUGACAAAAUGAGUGAGCACAGCUGGAGCAGAUGCAUCCUGGCAACAGCGGUUCCCUGAAGAGACUGGCCUUUGGUUCCUGCUGCACCCACUCCAAGACCCUGGAGGGGACCUGGGUCCUGAGUCAUCACUCUGAUUUUAUAGUUCCCACAGCUUUCCAAGGAAAUGCUUUCCUGCCAAAGGCAGCCAAGUUGCUGCUUGCAACCAAAUAGGAUUCCUUACUACUUUCUAAAUAAAUCCCCUAUGCUCUAGAAAAAAGGGACAACUCCCUAAAUGUGCCUUGUGAUAGCCUUUCUUUGUACCUGUUGGCCUGCA